UACGGGGGGGGUAAGCGUUGUUCGGAAUUACUGGGCGUAAAGCGCACGUAGGCGGAUCAGUUAGUCGGGGGUGAAAUCCCGGGGCUCAACCCCGGAACUGCCUUCGAUACUGCUGGUCUGGAGUCCGAGAGAGGUGAGUGGAAUUCCGAGUGUAGAGGUGAAAUUCGUAGAUAUUCGGAGGAACACCAGUGGCGAAGGCGGCUCACUGGCUCGGUACUGACGCUGAGGUGCGAAAGCGUGGGGAGCAAACAGG
rnacentral:rRNA from 1 species